rnacentral:rRNA from 1 species
CCUACGGGUGGCAGCAGUGAGGAAUAUUGGUCAAUGGACGAGAGUCUGAACCAGCCAAGUAGCGUGAAGGAUGACUGCCCUAUGGGUUGUAAACUUCUUUUAUAUGGGAAUAAAAUGUUCCACGUGUGGGAUUUUGUAUGUACCAUAUGAAUAAGGAUCGGCUAACUCCGUGCCAGCAGCCGCAGUAAUACGGAGGAUCCGAGCGUUAUCCGGAUUUAUUGGGUUUAAAGGGAGCGUAGGUGGAUUGUUAAGUCAGUUGUGAAAGUUUGCGGCUCAACCGUAAAAUUGCAGUUGAAACUGGCAGUCUUGAGUACAGUAGAGUUGGGCGGAAUUCGUGGUGUAGCGGUGAAAUGCUUAGAUAUCACGAAGAACUCCGAUUGCGAAGGCAGCUCACUGGACUGCAACUGACACUGAGGCUCGAAAGCGUGGGGAGCAAACAGGAUUAGAUACCCUUGUAGUC